rnacentral:rRNA from 1 species
UGGGGAAUCUUGCGCAAUGGGCGAAAGCCUGACGCAGCCAUGCCGCGUGAAUGAUGAAGGUCUUAGGAUUGUAAAGUUCUUUCGCUCGUGACGAUGAUGACGGUAACGAGAGAAGAAGCCCCGGCUAACUUCGUGCCAGCAGCCGCGGUAAUACGAAGGGGGCUAGCGUUGUUCGGAAUUACUGGGCGUAAAGCGCGCGUAGGCGGCUUUGCAAGCCAGAGGUGAAAUGCCUGAGCUCAACUUAGGAAUUGCCUUUGGGACUGCGAGGCUUCGAGGACUGGAGAGGUGAGUGGAAUUCCCAGUGUAGAGGUGAAAUUCGUAGAUAUUGGGAAGAACACCAGUGGCGAAGGCGGCUCACUGGCCAGUUUCUGACGCUAAAGUGCGAAAGCGUGGGGAUCAAACAGGAUUAGAUACCCUGGUAGUCCCUGAGCGGGCUGGCAAGGCG